GGCGGGAAAGCCAAAAAAGAGGCGCCGAUCUUGUAAAUCGGAGACUGAGGUCACCCUCUCCCACCU
rnacentral:tRNA from 1 species